rnacentral:rRNA from 1 species
UGNAAGUCGAGCGAAUCUNUAAGGAGCUUGCUCCUGUUGGUUAGCGGCGGACGGGUGAGUAACACGUGGGCAACCUGCCUGUAAGACUGGGAUAACACCGGGAAACCGGUGCUAAUACCGGAUAAUCCUUUUCCUCUCAUGAGGAAAAGCUGAAAGUCGGUUUCGGCUGACACUUACAGAUGGGCCCGCGGCGCAUUAGCUAGUUGGUGAGGUAACGGCUCACCAAGGCGACGAUGCGUAGCCGACCUGAGAGGGUGAUCGGCCACACUGGGACUGAGACACGGCCCAGACUCCUACGGGAGGCAGCAGUAGGGAAUCUUCCACAAUGGACGAAAGUCUGAUGGAGCAACGCCGCGUGAGCGAUGAAGGCCUUCGGGUCGUAAAGCUCUGUUGUUAGGGAAGAACAAGUACCGGAGUAACUGCCGGUACCUUGACGGUACCUAACCAGAAAGCCACGGCUAACUACGUGCCAGCAGCCGCGGUAAUACGUAGGUGGCAAGCGUUGUCCGGAAUUAUUGGGCGUAAAGCGCGCGCAGGCGGUCCUUUAAGUCUGAUGUGAAAGCCCACGGNUCAACCGUGGAGGGUCAUUGGAAACUGGGGGACUUGAGUGCAGAAGAGGAAAGCGGAAUUCCACGUGUAGCGGUGAAAUGCGUAGAGAUGUGGAGGAACACCAGUGGCGAAGGCGGCUUUUCUGGUCUGUAACUGACGCUGAGGCGCGAAAGCGUGGGGAGCAAACAGGAUUAGAUACCCCUGGUAGUCCACGCCGUAAACGAUGAGUGCUAAGUGUUANGGGGGUUUCCGCCCCCUUAGUGCUGCAGCUANCGCAUUAAGCACUCCGCCCUGGGGAGUACGGCCGCAAGGNUGAAACUCAAAGGANUUGACGGGG